UAUUAGUCUCAACACUCGUACCAAGAUACUAUAAGUAAUAGUCCUCAAAACUAAAGGAUUUGGCGGUGACUUAGUCCAGUUAGAGGAACCUGUUAAGUAAACAAUAAAUCACACAGAGUCUUACCCGUCCCCACAGCUUGUAUACCGUCAUUAUUAGAUAACUCUGAUAGGAUUAGUCAUUCCAUUAAUUGAUUUAUUCAUAUAUUAGAUCAAGGCGCAGCCUAUGGAUGGGUUACAAUGAAACUUAUUAAUAAGAAUGUGGGGAUUAAACACCUCCGUGAAGGAGGAUUUAAUAGUAAAGCUGGCUUAACAAGCCAACCUGAUAAUUGACUUAAGUUGAGUAUAUAUCUCACGUCGCUUUCAUUCCCAGAUGAAAAAAGUCGUAACACAG
rnacentral:rRNA from 1 species